CCCUCCCUCUCUCGCUCUCUUUAACUGCUAUGUAAAUGAUUGCCCAGUGAUUCAUUACAGGGGGAGAUUCAACAGAGAGCACUACUCUGUAAUAAACACCACUCACAGGAAAAUCCCAACACACUUAAGCUGCAUUUAAACGGCUGUUUGAGAGAAAUAGUCCUCCUUUCUCACUGGCCUCAGUGGCGCUCUCUUCAUCAUAUUAGCCAGAAUUCCCUCAUCUGUUGUCAUGCAGAUAAAGAAGAGAAUAUCUGUUUGAUCUGGACUUCUGUUUUCUGGUCCUGGACGUGUUAAAAAUGUUUGCCCCAAAAAUUAUUUGCCAGGAAGGAUGGUUGGGGCCCGGGAGAAAUGUUGGUUUGUGGUUCUGGGGUACUUUAGAGGACAGUGGUUCUGGUUCAUUAUAGAGGACAGUGGUUCUGGUUCAAUACAGAGGACAGUGGUUCUGGUCCAUUACAGAGGACAGUGGUUCAGGGGUACCAUAGAGGACAGUGGUUCUGGGGUACUAUAGAAGACAGUGGUUCUGGGGUACUAUAGAGGACAGUGGUUCUAGUCCAUUAUACCGGACAGUGGAUCUGGGGUACUAUAGAGGACAGUGGUUCUGGUCCAUUAUAGAGGACAGUGGUUCGGGUCCAUUAUAAAAGACAUUGGUUCUGGGGUACUGUAGAGCACAGUGCUUCUGGGGUACUGCAGUGGACUGUGGUUCAGGUCCAUUAUAGAGGACAGUGGUUCUAGGGUACUGUAGAGGACAGUGGUUCUGGCCCAUUAUAGAGGACAGUGGUUCUGGGUUACUGUAGAGGACAGUGGUUCUGGUCCAUUAUAGAGGACAGUGGUUCUGGGGUACUGUAGAGGAAAGUGGUUCUGGUCCAUUAUAGAGGACAGUGGUUCUGGGGUACUGUAGAGGACAGUGGUUCUGGUCCAUUAUAGAGGACAGUGGUUCUGGGGUACUGUAGAGGACAGUGGUUCUGGUCCAUUAUAGAGGACAGUGGUUCUGGGGUACUGUAGAGGACAGUGGUUCUGGUCCAUUAUAGAGGACAGUGGUUCUGGGGUACUGUAGAGGACAGUGGUUCUGGUCCAUUAUAGAGGACAGUGGUUCUGGGUUACUGUAGGGGACAGUGGUUUGUCCCUCCCUCUCUGGAAGGACCCUGAGUAGACAGAUGCUGAGCCACAUUUGUCACUUUCAGCAGCAGACUAAUUGCUAAACAAAAGGUGGUGGCGUUCCUUAUUCCUCCUGGCCUUGUAAACCUUUACAGCGCAGGGUCUCUCCCAGAUAGUGAAGUGGCUCAUUAUAAAAGGAUCACACUAAGGAUCUGAUAACAGAGGAGGAGGGAAUUGAUGGGGAGGAGAGAGGGAGGGAGGGAGUAAAAUAAACUAAAAGAAAAUAGUGUGGUCAUUCCCCCAGAGGGCUGUUUGGAUCACAUGCAGCUCAGCUCAUGACAGUGUGGAUGGAAGACAGGCUAGGCUAAGAGUUCAAUCCUGUAGAUACAUAGUAGAGUGUUCUGACCCUGUUUCCAUACUAUUUCCUUUUUAUAAAUGAGGUACUUCAGAAAAGGAUGUGGGUGUGUGUCUUUGUGUGUCUUCUUUGUGUGUGUGUGUGUGUGUGUGUGUGUGUGUGUGUGUGUGUGUGUGUGUGUGUGUGCGUGGAUGUGUCUUCAUGUGGGUGUCUCUGUGUGAAGGUUGAGAGAGAGCAAAGAGCUCCCGACUGCACGUCUUGACAAAGUUAGGUAAUUAGGGUGCUGGCCCAUUAAAGAGGGAAUAUUCUGUCUGUGAUAAAUGACUUUAAUAAAGAGACUGUGUUCUCUCUAACAGAGACUAAUACCUCCUCCACCAUCAUCCUGCUCUCCUCUCCAAUCUCCUCUUUCUCAACCUGUCUUCUCCUCCCCUUCUUUCCUCUCCUAUCUUUGCUCUUUUUCACCUCCUCUUUCUCUCCCCCAGUCAGAUGUAACAUUAUUCAGUCAGAUGUCUUAAACAUCAUCAGCGAGUUGUCUCCGUAAAAUGAUCUCUCACUCCAUUUGUGUCCUCAAAAUGAUUCUGAGUGGUGCGUGCGUGUGUGUGUCUGGGAUUCCUGUAAAACAUAAUUAGCACUCUCUUUGUAGGAGCCAUGUAAAUUGGACAUUUAAGAAGCUCCUGGAGCGGUUUAUGUCUCAACGCAACAUUUUCACUGGUGUUAAAUUAUAUUGGUCUGGGGCUUCAUGGGUUUUAACUGGUUUUAUAUUAUGUUGGUCUGGUGCUUUAUGGAUUUUAACGGGUAGGAUUUUAUAUUGGUCUGGUGCAUUCUGGGUGUAAAAAAUUGGUAUAAUAUUGGUCUGGUGCUUCAUGGGUUUUGACUGGUAUUUUAUUAUAUUGGUCUGGUGCUUUAUGGGUUUUAACAGGUAGGAUUUUAUAACGGUCUGGUGCAUUCUAGGUGGUAAACUGGUAUAAUAUUGGUCUGGGGCUUUAUGGGUUUUAACUGGUUUUAUAUUAUAUUGGUUUGGUGCUUUAAGGGUUUUAACAGGUAGGAUUCUGUAUUGGUCUGUUGCUCAAUGGGGUCAAACUGGUAUUAUAUUAUAUUGGUCUGUUCUACAAUUGUUUAAACUGAUGAAAUGUUAUAUUGAUAUGGUGCUUCAUGGGUUUUAACUGGUAUUAUAUUAUAUAUUAUGGUAUCAUAUUAAAUAUUAUAUAUGUAAUGCUAUCAACAAAUGAGAGAUUCCCAUCACAAACAUAGGAGGUCCCAACAAAGGUCCCAUCAACC
ensembl:lncRNA